GGCCCAUUUGAUGCCUGGGUAACCAAGCUUCACCGUCAGAGUGCCAGCACCUUGUAUCACAAGCCCCAAUCCGUAUGAGCCCCGGCCAUGCCCUUGCCAGGCACCAGUCAGACACUCUCCAUAAACCAUCCAGUUGGCCUAGAAGGCAACUCCAGGAGGGAGGUGUGGCUAACACUCCCUUCAGUUGAUGACACAGAAUUGGGGAGGUGACAUCACCUGCCCAAGACCACCUGACUUCUGAAUGCAGCACUAGGACUAGAACCCGGCCCAUCCAUUGCCACAGCCCACACACUGAUGCUCAGGUCUCUGCCCCCAGGGAGGCCCAGGAUGCUGCAUCUCAGUGCCAUGGAGGGCAGGGGUGCCGUGGAGGUGGAGGCCGGGCUGCCCAACAUAGGAGUUCUGCCUUCUCAGAGGCCUGCUCCUACUUCAGAGAAGCUCUCCAAAAAGAAGGGAAGAAUACCAGUCAGGUCCCUGCCGGCCUGGAGCAUGAUGUGGAGAUUUGAGGCAUGGGAAGGCAAGUCCUCAGCCACCCGUCUGGCUCCCACACUGAGGGGCGCAGACCCCACCCCCGGAGUGAACACUGUCCCAUCUGCUGCUCUCUCCCCCUGCAGCUGCUCCCUUUGCUUUGGCUCCUCCUUGCACACCGUGGCUCCAGCUCUGCAGGGCCUUGGCUUUGUAACCUUUCCUAGCAUUUCAGGAAAUGGACAUGGGUCGCAUCUCUGCGACCACAGCCCCUAGGCCCCUCUGCACCUACGCCCCCUGCACCUGUGCCCCGUGGCCCUCCGUAUCCCAGCCUGGGGCUGGAGACCUCUAACCACACGGGUCUGGUUGCAGUAACAUGACAGUCCAAAACACAGCUGCUUCACUCAAACGACGUUACUUACUCCUCACCGUGACAGUGUGUGGACAGCCCGGGAGUGUGCCUCUGCCCCGCGUGGCCCAUCCACAUUCAGGGGCAUUCCAAGGGGAACGUGCUUAGUUUCUCAAAAGCCAAAGGCCAGAAGACACGCCUCUCUUCUGCUUGCACUUCAUCGGCCAGAGCAUAGCCACGUGACUGCCUCUGCUCCAAGGAAUGCUGGGAAAAGUAGUCUGGCUGUGUAAUCCUGGGCUCAACUGUAGCUUCCAUUAUUAUGGCAAAGAAAAAUGGAUAUUAUGUCCACCACUGACCUGGUCUGUUAUGUUAAUCUAUCCCAGCGCCAGGCUGUGAUGAGCACAUGAGUGAAUAAAGCUACUCUCCAAGCCUGCA
rnacentral:lncRNA from 1 species